rnacentral:rRNA from 1 species
AACGUAGGUCACAAGCGUUGUCCGGAAUUACUGGGUGUAAAGGGAGCGCAGGCGGGAAGACAAGUUGGAAGUGAAAUCCAUGGGCUCAACCCAUGAACUGCUUUCAAAACUGUUUUUCUUGAGUAGUGCAGAGGCAGGCGGAAUUCCCGGUGUAGCGGUGGAAUGCGUAGAUAUCGGGAGGAACACCAGUGGCGAAGGCGGCCUACUGGGCACCAACUGACGCUGAGGCUCGAAAGUGUGGGUAGCAAACAGG